GCCUGGGUGGCUCAGUCGGUUGAGCGUCUGACUUCGGCUCAGGUCAUGAUCUCGUGGUUUGUGAGUUCAAGCCCCACAUAAGGCU
rnacentral:tRNA from 1 species